CGUGCAGGCGGUUUGGUAAGUUGGAUGUGAAAGCUCCCGGCUCAACUGGGAGAGGUCGUUCAAUACUACCAGACUUGAGAGUGGUAGAGGGAGGUGGAAUUCCCGGUGUAGUGGUGAAAUGCGUAGAUAUCGGGAGGAACACCAGUGGCGAAAGCGGCCUCCUGGACCAUUUCUGACGCUCAGACGCGAAAGCUAGGGGAGCAAACGGGAUUAGAGACCCCGGUAGUCCUAGCUGUAAACGAUGUGAACUUGGCGUCGGUGGUGUAAAAACCAUCGGUGCCGCAGCCAACGCGAUAAGUUCACCGCCUGGGGACUACGGCCGCAAGGUUAAA
rnacentral:rRNA from 1 species